UCGGCUAUACCACACUGAAACACCGGUUCUUGUACGAUCAUCGAAGUUAAGCAAUGUCGAGCCUGGUCAAUAACUAGAUGGGUUACCGCUUGGAAAUGCCAAUCGCUGUAAG